GUACUCGCUUUGGCAGCACAUAUAUUAAAAUAGGAAUGAUACAGAGAAGAUCAGCACGGCCCCUGCACAAGGGUGACAUGCAAAUUCAUGAAGCAUUCCAUAUUUUU
ensembl:snRNA RNU6-283P RNA, U6 small nuclear 283, pseudogene